rnacentral:rRNA from 1 species
UACGUAGGAGACGAGCGUUGUCCGGAGUUACUGGGCGUAAAGGGUGCGCAGGCGGCCCUGCGCGUCGCGAGUGAAAUCUCCCGGCUCAACUGGGAGGGUGCGCCGAAAACUGGAAUGCUUGAACAUGGGAGAGGAAAGCGGAAUUCCUGGUGUAGCGGUGAAAUGCGUAGAUAUCAGGAGGAACACCUGCGGUGUAGACGGCUUUCUGGACCAUUGUUGACGCUGAGACACGAAAGCGUGGGUAGCAAACAGG